GACGAACCGAGCGAACGUUGUUCGGAAUAACUGGGCUUAAAGGGCGCGUAGGCGGGCUGUCAAGUCUGGGGUGAAAUCCCGCGGCUCAACCGUGGAACUGCCUCAGAUACUGACGGUCUCGAGGGAGGUAGGGGCGAGCGGAACUGUGAGUGGAGCGGUGAAAUGCGUUGAUAUUCACAGGAACACCAGUGGCGAAGGCGAGUCCCUGGACAACACCUGACACUGAGGCACGAAAGCUAGGGGAGCAAACAGG
rnacentral:rRNA from 1 species